UUAGCUGAAGCCAAAAAUAAGAGGCAUAUUACUGUUAAUAAUAUCAUUGAAUUUUAUUCCAACUAAA
rnacentral:tRNA from 1 species